GGCGCGCGGGACCAUGGAACCUCCCCGCCCCACCCCCAGCCUAACUGCUCUGAUGGCCCCCCAGCUUCACCUGGACAUCGUACUGGUGCGUGCGCGUGCACACCAACCUCCACCCUCCAUGAGCCCGCGCCCUAACGUGGAUCGAAUGAUUCAAGAGAACAACCACCUGUUCACAGAUAUCCAGUGUAAAGUGUGCAAUGCAGUACUCAUUUCUGAGUCCCAGAAACUCGCCCAUUACCAGAGCAAGAAGCAUGCAAACAAAGUGAGGAGAUACACAUCUAUUCACAAAGAGGAGGAGUUUAAUGAUGGGAAAAAACUGAAGCUAGAUUCAAAACAGGAGAGCAGCCAUGGCGAUGACAGGGAUCGGUGCUGUGCCAUCUGCAACAUGACCUUUUCUUCCCCCGUCGUGGCCCAGUCUCACUACCUGGGGAAGACUCAUGCCAAGAACAUGAAGUUGAAGCAGAGUAACUCCCAGGCGGAAGGUCCACCAAAAGUCCACACGGAUGCUACAACCCCUGGUGCGAGUGAAGGCAGUGGUAACACAUCUGAUCCGGACAAAUUUUGCAAGCUCUGCCAUGCCACUUUCAACAAUCCCUCCAUGGCCAAGCAGCACUAUGAGGGCAAGAAGCACAGAAAACAAGAAACCAAAGUCAAGCUGAUGGCUCAUUAUGGCAAGAACAAAGAUGCACCAGUUACAGUUUCAGAAGCUGGAUGGGGCUAUCCCUGCAACACUUGCAAAAUCAUGCUGAAUUCCAUAGAGCAGUACCAGGCGCACAUCAGUGGCUUCAAGCACAGGAAUCAUACACCAGGAGCUGCGCCGAUCCUAGGACGCUUUCCAAAGCAGCAGUAUGUGCGAGAAGAAACAGUGUCCUCAGGAGACUACAGUUACUUUAGCCAAGACUCCUAGAGCCAGUGGCAAUACUGUUCUCUUCAAGUUGGUGCCAGCCAAGAACAAGCAGCUAGUGCCAGCUGUCAGCGGUUCAGUUAUCUGGUCAGAGACUGGCCUGUGCCUCCAUCUUAUAGAUGCUACCUGAUCAUCCUCCUCCCUCAUCUGUGCCUCUAACUUUUUUAAUGUGGAUUCCAGAAUCUCCCCUGUAUGCCCUGCCUCUUUCUGGGCUGCUAGAGACAUCUCCUGUAGUUGUUGGGCAGUGUUGUGGAGGGUCUCUAUAUCUGAUGUGACCCCCUCCUCUGCUGCCAUCUCUGCAACCUCCAACAGUGAUUCUUUUGAUUUCCUCUCCUUCUGACGUGCUUUCUGACUCAUUGAGAUAUACUGAACUGACUCUUCAAGUCUGCGAGAGUCUUAAGUGCUCUGGAGAGAAAACGUCAUGACACUGUGUCCACCUACAAUUUUUAAUUCCAUGGAGACUAAUAUUCCAUGUAGCACUACUGCAAGACCAUUGAAAGAUGGGCUUUUGUUUCAGGGAGAAGUUCAAGGUGAUUAAAAGUACUGGUCUUUCAAAUUGUCUGAAAGAGAGAGAACACAUAUAUAGACAAGUGGUGCUAGGAAAAGGUGUUUUGAUCCAAGAAGUCAGAGGGAAUGUGAGUGGAGCCUUAGGGCAAUCUGUUGACAGCUCUAUAAAUGUUAAGAUGCUACAGAACUGUGGGUUAUUGACAUUAUUAUGUGGAGGAGCCUCCAACCAAGUUCUUCACUACCUACCUCAUCAUAGCAUGGAGAGGAUGCUGAGUUCAGGAAGGUAAUGCCAGAAUGCAGGCUGCUGAGGCUUUGACUACAGACCUGAGAUUGGGCUGGGUGUUUGCACACCAGCCUGCACACCAACCUGGCUACAUUCAUAGAAGCUCAUCACCAGGUUAGUUGCAAGGUGAUGAAUUGACCACAGUUUCCUUUUAAUUGUGAAGGAGUUGUAAUAUCCUAGGUCAGUCAGGUCUCCUAGUGACCACCAGAGGGCACCAGUGGCCCAAUAAUCAUAGAGAAAUUUCCCCCCACUACCCCUAGGCAAAGCUGGAAAAUCUUCAAGAAAGCAUCUAUUUGUACAAGCCUUUCAUUUUUUAGAUGAGAAACUGGGGCCCAGAGAAGGGAAGGGGAUUUGCCCCAGGUCUCAUAGUGAGUGGGAGAGCUAGUCUCCAGACUCCUGGUCUAAUGCCACUUCUGGGAGUCCCUCCCUCCUUACCUUCCCAGCUCCCACCCCCAUUCCUACCCCUUCCCUAUUUCAAGCCUUACCGUGGAGGUCAGGAGAGUAAGGUGGUUCAGGUGUCUUACCAGUAACCUAAACCAAGAUUCUCAAACUCUUUGGUUUUAGGACCCCUUUGCACUCUUAGAAAUUAUUGAGGACCCCAAAGAGUUUGUUUAUGUGGGUUAUGUGUAUAUUUACCAUGUUAGAAAUUAAA